GCAAGUCGAGCGGUAACAGGAAGAACGCUUGCUUUCUUUUCUGACGAGCGGCGGACGGGUGAGUAAUGCCUAGGUAUCUGCCCAGUCGAGGGGGAUAACAGUUGGAAACGACUGCUAAUACCGCAUACGCCCUACGGGGGAAAGGAGGGGACCUUCGGGCGUUUCGCGAUUGGAUGAACCUAGGUGGGAUUAGCUAGUUGGUAAGGUAAUGGCUUACCAAGGCGACGAUCCCUAGCUGUUCUGAGAGGAUGAUC
rnacentral:rRNA from 1 species